CAGCCGCCGCGGUAAUACGGAGGGGGCAAGCGUUAUCCGGAAUUAUUGGGCGUAAAGGGUACGUAGGUGGCCUUUUAUGCGUAGGGUAUAAGGCAAUGGCUCAACCAUUGUUCGCCCUAUGAACUGGAAGGCUUGAGUGCAGGAGAGGAAAGCGGAAUUCCUAGUGUAGCGGUGGAAUGCAUAGAUAUUAGGAGGAACAUCAGCGGCGAAGGCGGCUUUCUGGACUGCAACUGACACUGAGGUACGAAAGCGUGGGGAGCAAACAGGAUUAGAUACCCGCGUAGUCCCUGUCUCUUAUACA
rnacentral:rRNA from 1 species